AACGAACGCUGGCGGCAUGCCUAACACAUGCAAGUCGAACGAGACCUUCGGGUCUAGUGGCGCACGGGUGCGUAACGCGUGGGAACCUGCCCUUAGGUUCGGAAUAACUCCCCGAAAGGGGUGCUAAUACCGGAUAAUGUCUUCGGACCAAAGAUUUAUCGCCUUUGGAUGGGCCCGCGUUGGAUUAGCUAGUUGGUAGGGUAAAAGCCUACCAAGGCGACGAUCCAUAGCUGGUCUGAGAGGAUGAUCAGCCACACUGGGACUGAGACACGGCCCAGACUCCUACGGGAGGCAGCAGUGGGGAAUAUUGGACAAUGGGCGAAAGCCUGAUCCAGCAAUGCCGCGUGGGUGAUGAAGGCCUUAGGGUUGUAAAGCUCUUUUACCCGGGAUGAUAAUGACAGUACCGGGAGAAUAAGCUCCGGCUAACUCCGU
rnacentral:rRNA from 1 species